rnacentral:rRNA from 1 species
AUAGAGACUCAGAGCUGCAUAUCAAUAAGCGGAGGAAAAGAAACUAACAAGGAUUCCCCUAGUAACGGCGAGUGAAGCGGGAAGAGCUCAAAUUUGAAAUCUUAAAGGGUUUCCCUUUACGAAUUGUAGUUUAAAGAAGUGUUUUCUGUUGGAGUUUCGGUAAAAGUUCUUUGGAAUAGGACAUCAUAGAGGGUGAGAAUCCCGUAUUUGGUCAUUCCUCCUAGCGUUGUGAUACACUUUCAACGAGUCGGAUUGUUUGGGAAUGCAGUCCAAAAUGGGUGGUAAAUUUCAUCUAAAGCUAAAUAUUGGCGAGAGACCGAUAGCGAACAAGUACCGUGAGGGAAAGAUGAAAAGAACUUUGAAAAGAGAGUUAAACAGUACGUGAAAUUGUCAAAAGGGAAGCGUUUGACACCAGUGUUGUUUUUCCGAAAAUCAAUUACGAAUGUUUUAUUUUUGAGAAGUUAUGACUUCAUCGGCUUGCUUCUCUCUUUAUGAAACUUUCUUAAUGCACUUUUCGGUUAACAAGUCAACAUCAAUUUCUUUUGUUGUAAAAGGGUAUGAGGAAGGUGGCUUUCUUUUCGGAGAAAGUGUUUAUAGCCUUGUAGCCUCUGCAAUCGGAGAGAUUGAGGUCUGCAGCGUAGAUCCUUCGGGGUUAGAUACAGUUUGUGCUAAGUUAUAGCUUUUCAUAGACAACUUGUUGACUAUGUUUAGUCUUGUAGCUUACUCGCUUAUGCUAUUUUACCUACGCUUAGGAUGUUGACGAGACUGUCGAUCUC